UACGUAGGGUCCGAGCGUUGUCCGGAAUUACUGGGCGUAAAGAGCUCGUAGGUGGUUUGUCGCGUUGUUCGUGAAAACUCACAGCUCAACUGUGGGCGUGCGGGCGAUACGGGGCAGACUAGAGUACUGCAGGGGAGACUGGAAUUCCUGGUGUAGCGGUGGAAUGCGCAGAUAUCAGGAGGAACACCGGUGGCGAAGGCGGGUCUCUGGGCAGUAACUGACGCUGGAGGAGCGAAAGCGUGGGGAGCGAACAGG
rnacentral:rRNA from 1 species